rnacentral:misc_RNA from 1 species
GCGCCAGCAUGCGAGCAAAGGCACCCCACGAUCGCGACUUUGGUCACAAUGCGCGAGGAGGUCGCGGCGAUCGCGGCAACGAUGAUCGGCGAGGAGGCGGCGGCGGUGGAGGUGGCGGCGGCAACCGCUUUGGAGGCGGUGGUGGCGGCGGCGGAGGCGACUAUCAUGGAGUUCGCAACGGGCGCAUCGAGAAGCGUCGGGAUGACCGCGGAGGUGGCGGCCGUUUCGGCGGCGGCGGUGGAUUCGGAGGCGACCGCCGAGGUGGCGGCAGCCAGGAUCUGCCAAUGCGCCCCGUCGACUUCUCCAACCUGGCCCCGUUCAAGAAGAACUUCUACCAGGAGCACCCCAACGUGGCAUCACGCUCGCCCUACGAAGUGCAGAGGUACCGCGACGAGCACGAGAUCACCGUACGCGGACAGGCGCAGAACCCCAUCCAAGACUUCACGGAGGUCCAUCUGCCCGACUACGUGAUGAAGGAGAUCCGCCGUCAGGGAUACAAGGCUCCGACCGCCAUCCAGGCACAGGGCUGGCCCAUCGCCAUGAGCGGCUCCAACUUCGUGGGCAUCGCCAAGACCGGCUCGGGCAAGACUCUGGGCUACAUUCUGCCGGCCAUCGUCCACAUCAACAACCAGCAGCCUCUGCAGCGCGGCGACGGACCCAUCGCCCUGGUGCUGGCCCCCACUCGGGAGCUGGCCCAGCAGAUCCAGCAGGUGGCCACCGAGUUCGGCUCGUCGUCGUAUGUGCGCAACACCUGCGUCUUCGGAGGGGCUCCCAAGGGCAGCCAGAUGAGGGAUCUGCAGCGCGGCUGCGAGAUCGUCAUCGCCACUCCUGGACGACUAAUUGAUUUCCUAUCGGCUGGGUCCACCAACCUGAAGCGCUGCACCUAUCUGGUCCUGGACGAGGCCGAUCGCAUGUUGGACAUGGGCUUCGAGCCCCAGAUCAGGAAGAUCGUCUCACAGAUCCGGCCGGACAGGCAGACCCUCAUGUGGAGCGCCACCUGGCCCAAGGAAGUGAAGCAGCUGGCCGAGGACUUCUUGGGCAACUACAUCCAGAUCAACAUCGGAUCGUUGGAGCUCUCCGCCAACCACAACAUCCGCCAGGUGGUGGAGGUUUGCGACGAAUUCAGCAAGGAGGAGAAAUUGAAGAGCCUCUUGUCGGACAUCUAUGACACCAGCGAAAAUCCCGGCAAGAUCAUCAUCUUCGUGGAGACCAAGCGCCGCGUAGACAACCUCGUGCGCUUCAUCCGGAGCUUCGGCGUGCGCUGCGGAGCUAUCCAUGGCGACAAGUCGCAGUCCGAGCGCGACUUUGUGCUCCGCGAGUUCCGUUCCGGCAAGUCCAACAUCCUGGUGGCCACCGACGUGGCAGCCCGAGGCCUGGAGGCCGGUUGUGGUAGUAUGAUGGGGAGGAUAGUGAACGAGCAGCGACCAUUGCAGACACUCGUUACUUGAGCGACUUUUGCCAACAUCAGAAAUGAUCAGAGUAUGAUGACGUACGCAGCAACACCAACAUGUGUGUGUGUGUGUGUGUUGUGUAUUUGAGAUUUGGGCAAAAGGACCGAUGAAAGUUACAGUUCAGACGGUCGAGCGAGCGAGCGUCGUCGAACGACGAAUAUCCCCAACAUCAUGCGUCCUAUAUGUGGCCUCUGCAGUCCCCGAUUUUGUUGAGAAAGAAGUUUGGGAAAUGUGUUAUAUGCGACCUGUGACCUGCGACCUACAACCAACCAACCAACCAACCAACCAAUCAACCAACAACAACAACAACAACUGAACCGUGCCAUCAGAGAGCCAGCUUUGCUCAGCAGUGGAGGAAAGGAAAAGGCGAGGCGCGGCGUGCUCCAACAGCCAGGCAAUUAAGUGGAAAUGGUGGCCCAACAAGAAAGCACAAGCAAUUGGAUAUGCACCACCCAACAACCAAGCCCAAUAGAGCAGCAAAAGCAAUCAAUGCGUGCGCACAAGUUGCACAUUUUCACACCCAUUACACUACACUAUAAUACACUCCAAAGAUGUACUAUGUUAUGCUUGCCCUGCCCGGCCGGAGGAGGAUCUGGAGGCUGGAUGUAUGUGGCGAGGAUGCUGAUGCUGCUGCUGCUACUGCUACUGCUGCUAAGUGCGUCCACCGCUUCUUUUUGAAACUGAGCCACCACCCAAAACACCAAAACCAGUGCCUGCGUUUGCGCCGCCGCGUUCGAAUAUCCGAAUAUGUAUAGCCCACUGCUCCUGGACGAAGAGGCGGCCCGCUUGUUGUUGUUAAAAAAAAAAACCCUUCAAAACCAAAUAUUAUUUGAAAUGUUAUGGUAUGCUGGUCGCUAACGGGUCUCUCCUCUAAGUGGUCUCAUCUACAAAAUGGUCCGAAAGUGAGAAGAGUGCUUAGUCAGUGGCGCACGCGGCUCAAUGCAACAAACUCUCCGCUUCGCCCGAGCUCGAGCGAUCGAUAUCGACAUCAGAUCGCAAUUGCAAUAGAUAUUUCCUAUAAUUCUGGGGAGAGUUUGGACCACGAGCUGCGCGCCGCCAAUCACAGAUUUUGAUUGAGAGAAAAAUUGAGUCAAACAAUUUUAUAGCACCAAGAAGAUGUGGACGGCAUUAAGUAUGUCAUCAACUUCGACUACCCGCAAAACAGCGAGGACUACAUUCAUCGCAUAGGACGCACAGGACGAUCCAACA